rnacentral:rRNA from 1 species
AUUGAACGCUGGCGGCAUGCUUUACACAUGCAAGUCGAACGGCAGCACGGGGGCAACCCUGGUGGCGAGUGGCGAACGGGUGAGUAAUACAUCGGAACGUAUCCUUAAGUGGGGGAUAACGCACCGAAAGGUGUGCUAAUACCGCAUAAUCUCCGAGGAGAAAAGCAGGGGAUCGCAAGACCUUGCGCUUUUGGAGCGGCCAAUGUAUGAUUAGCUAGUUGGUGAGGUAAAGGCUUACCAAGGCGUCGAUCAGUAGCUGGUCUGAGAGGACGACCAGCCACACUGGGACUGAGACACGGCCCAGACUCCUACGGGAGGCAGCAGUGGGGAAUUUUGGACAAUGGGGGAAACCCUGAUCCAGCCAUGCCGCGUGAGUGAAGAAGGCCUUCGGGUUGUAAAGCUCUUUCAGCCGGAACGAAACGGUCACGGUUAAUACCCGUGACUACUGACGGUACCGGAAGAAGAAGCACCGGCUAACUACGUGCCAGCAGCCGCCGUAAAAC